UACGCAGGGGGCGAACGUUGUCCGGAAUCAUUGGGCGUAAAGAGCUCGUAGGCGGUUCGAUAAGUCGGGUGUGAAAACUUUGGGCUCAACCCAAAGCGUGCAUUCGAUACUGUUGUGACUAGAGUUCGGUAGGGGAGUGGGGAAUUCCUAGUGUAGCGGUGAAAUGCGCAGAUAUUAGGAGGAACACCGGUGGCGAAGGCGCCACUCUGGGCCGAAACUGACGCUGAGGAGCGAAAGCGUGGGUAGCAAACAGG
rnacentral:rRNA from 1 species